rnacentral:rRNA from 1 species
AGUGAACGCUGGCGGUAGGCCUAACACAUGCAAGUCGAACGGCAGCACAGUAAGAGCUUGCUCUUACGGGUGGCGAGUGGCGGACGGGUGAGGAAUACAUCGGAAUCUACUUUUUCGUGGGGGAUAACGUAGGGAAACUUACGCUAAUACCGCAUACGACCUACGGGUGAAAGCAGGGGAUCUUCGGACCUUGCGCGAUUGAAUGAGCCGAUGUCGGAUUAGCUAGUUGGCGGGGUAAAGGCCCACCAAGGCGACGAUCCGUAGCUGGUCUGAGAGGAUGAUCAGCCACACUGGAACUGAGACACGGUCCAGACUCCUACGGGAGGCAGCAGUAGGGAAUAUUGGACAAUGGGCGAAAGCCUGAUGCAGCCAUGCCGCGUGGGUGAAGAAGGCCUUCGGGUUGUAAAGCCCUUUUGUUGGGAAAGAAAAGCAGCAGGUUAAUACCCCGCUGUUCUGACGGUACCCAAAGAGUAAGCACCGGCUAACUUCGUG